rnacentral:ncRNA from 1 species
CAAAACACAAGGAAAUGGAGUAGUAAAAGGAAUGUCUUUGUUAGAGAGUUGUCGGUUGGUGCAAGACAUGAAAGAUCAAACUUUGAACUUACCAUGGAGUGGUCAGGUUGAUAAGACUUGAACGUAUGCUUAACGUUAAUGAAGCAGGAUGUGAUAGCAUCUGAAAUGAGUGCAUUCUUAAAUGAAUGAAGAAGAGUGGUACCGCGGAAGUAUUGUAAUUCUAACCUUUCGUCUCUUCU